CCUGAGCUGAGCCAGCCCAUAUGUCAGCAGUUGGCGCUCGAGCAGCAGGAAGAGCUGGGCAGAAGUUCAGGUCCCUGGUCUGUUGCCCCUGUUCCUGCACUGGAAUCAUCCGUAGCUGCCCCCACCUACCUCCUCUCCCCUCCCCAGAGACUGGAGACCUGCAGCUGCAGGGGAAGGGGCUUCACCUAGGACCUGAGUGCUGGGCCUUAGAGCUGCCCUGCUAAAAACUGACUACUGGCUGUGACUGGACUACAAAUCCCAGAGGCACCUGGAAGCAGGAAGAAGAAGUGAUGAGCAACCCUGCAGAGUCCUGCUGCUGUCGUUCUGGACUGCAAAUCCCAGAGACCUCAGGGGCAGCAGGAAGAAGAAGUGAACACACAGCCCAUGCUGGUUACAUGCCAGAGAGCCAUGCUCUAGUAUCCCCCCAGCAUCUACCUGAGCCACUGCAGCUAUUCAUAUGGUCCCCAUUAUCAUGGCAAUUGUAUGCCUGGAAAUCUUUUGGAGACUUAUUUGUACAGCACUCAUGGAAGACUGAGAAUUUUUUUCAUCCCUUUUUGUAGAUCGGACAUCAACAGGCUAAAUGAUGUAGAAUAGAGAGAAAUGCUAGAGGAACUGGUGUUGAAAUGUCAGGUGAGGGUUAAAGUACCACUACCUUCGGUAUCAAGGAUGACUGUAAAAUUCUUUGCUGACAGAAGCCAAACCCUAACUAGUUUCAAAUGAGCAGGGAGAUAAUCGGAAGAGCUGUGCAAAACUUUUCAUCCAAAACUUUUUAAAUAAAAAAUAAAACGAGUUUCUGGUUGACUUCAUCAUUUCACAAAUUUGUUUUGAUUUUGCCAACUUGUUUCAAGUGAUUAAAAAUGCUGUUACAUCUGGAAAAGGGGAUGCUCUGUUUUGACAGGUUUGUGAUGAAACAUUUUGCUCUGCACUUCAAAAUAAUAUUUUGCUUUGUAACAAUACAUUUUUAAUGCAAAUUUGUAUUUUGUAAUUUGUUUUAAAAAAUCAGAAAAAUAUUUAAUUGGAGUUGAGCUAAAUAUUUUGUUGAAUAAGAAAGGAAUUAUUUCAGCGCUGCUAAUCCAAAAACCAGCUCUGUUAAUCAGGCUCUUGUGGAGCAUGCAACAAGCUGCUGAGCAACAGGUACUUCCUAAAGAGAUAGGAAGGCAUUUAAGAAGGGAGAGCUUCAUGCUCUUUUGUUGUCAUAGGGUUUCUCUGUCUCCUAGUCUGGUAGAAACAUAUUCCUGUUUGUUCGUUUGUUUGUUUGUAAUCAAAAUGAUCAAAACCUCAGAAGUAAAACACGGAAGAGGAAAACUUAUUGACUGAGCUAGUUUAUCUAUUCACUUUCCCAUCUGCCUGUGGAACAUUUUGGAUUGCUGGUUUGAAAUAAGAAUUUUAAAUAGGUUUGAAAUAAGAAUCUUCUCUUGCAUUGCAUGGAAUGAAUUCUGAAAGUCUUUGUAUGACUGGCCGGUUCUGGUUUUCAAUGAACUGCUAUGAUCCCUAUUUGAAGCUUCCUCCAAAGCAUGAACAGAUUAAAAGAAAGUGUGAAAUAGAAUAAGAAGAGUACAUAAAAAUGAAUUGCUACAAGAUAAUUUGUAGUGAUUUGAAUUUCUCCCCUACCACCUGAUUCUUUCCAUAUUAAAAGCAAAUGAAAACCCAGAGCUAGUGUAGUCAAACUUUUUUCAGAUGGGAAUGUUAAAUACAGAUUCAAGAAGCACACACAGCACACAGUCCUAUUCUACUUCCACUACACCACCAGGCCAAGAUUAUCACUCAAAUUUAAACUGAGCAGGUUAAAAAGUAAACCACUUAGAGGUGGGGCUAAUGGUUGAAACAGAAAGAUUUUUCUUUGUGGAAAAAUCUGGGAUUAACCACAUUCGGGGAUGUUUAAUGUCACUAUCUCUGAGCCUGCUAGGAGCUCUGUGUAAGUGUAAAAGUUUGUCACUUUGAGGGACAUCAUCAAAGUGAAAACCUGUUUUUGUUUGGGGAAAAAAAAUCUCUUGUUUACAUAGGCACUGUUAACAU